rnacentral:rRNA from 1 species
UUAAAUUGAAGAGUUUGAUCAUGGCUCAGAUUGAACGCUGGCGGCAGGCCUAACACAUGCAAGUCGAGCGGCAGCGGGAAGAAGCUUGCUUCUUUGCCGGCGAGCGGCGGACGGGUGAGUAAUGUCUGGGAAACUGCCUGAUGGAGGGGGAUAACUACUGGAAACGGUGGCUAAUACCGCAUAACGUCGCAAGACCAAAGAGGGGGACUUUCGGGCCUCUUGCCAUCAGAUGUGCCCAGAUGGGAUUAGCUUGUUGGUGAGGUAACGGCUCACCAAGGCGACGAUCCCUAGCUGGUCUGAGAGGAUGACCAGCCACACUGGAACUGAGACACGGUCCAGACUCCUACGGGAGGCAGCAGUGGGGAAUAUUGCACAAUGGGCGCAAGCCUGAUGCAGCCAUGCCGCGUGUAUGAAGAAGGCCUUCGGGUUGUAAAGUACUUUCAGUCAGGAGGAAGGUGGUGAGCUUAAUACGUUCAUCAAUUGACGUU